rnacentral:lncRNA from 1 species
GUGCUUUGUAUUGAGACACUGCUAGUUUAAUUUUAGCAUGGUGAAUACUGAGGCCAUGUUUUCUUAAGCAUUCAGGUGAUGAAAAUGAGGAAAUGGUGUUGCAAUAUCAAUGCCCACGUGACCCAAAUGGCCAUGUUAUUUUAAUGACAGGAGGAGUGACACAGACAACUGGAUGAGGGAGGCUGUAACUGAAAUAUCACGUGGGUGAACAAAGGGAGAAAUGUCGAUGGCAGCUGUGUUGACCCUUUACAACAUGCAGUGGAUUCUGCCAGAUCCCACCAACAAUCAUGCUUUCUACAGUAACCAAGUGCUGCAUCCAAUCAUGGCAAUGAAAAACAGUUCUCCUAACUUGUAAAUACUUUGAUUUGAAAAAAUGGAGUUUCAAAUCAUCCUUUUUAUUUCUAUGAAGAUUUUAAUCCACCUGCAGAAAAAAAAAAGAAUGUUGAUGUUAU